CGAACCCGAGGCCAGCAGCUGGAGAAAGGGAAUUAUUCUGGAUGGAGAAAGGGAAUUAUUCUGGAUGAUGGAGAAGAAACCAUCCUGGCACGAAGGCCUGAGGCUCCAGGCAUGACCCCGAGGAGGAGCCAGCAUUCCUCAGCCUCCCCCUCUGGAGGCCCCAGUGAUGGUGCCAAGCAGCUGGUGGAGCAGCAGGACCUGAUGGGAUCCCUCCUUGUGCUGCUGAAGCAGAAAACAUCACAGGUACUCUUGAUGCCAAGAAGAGAUGCAGAUGCAGAAGGAGUGGAAUAUGAGCGUACAAUAAAACAACAAUAGGCUGGAUUGAACCAUUUUAGGAGCAAGAACAAAUUUACAAAGGAAAAAAAAACCCAACUUAAAAUAUAAAUAGUUACAGCAGAAGCACAUCCCAAGGAAGCAGAUGGUACAGUCUGUUUUACUAAUUAGUUUUCA